GGAGGUUAUAUAUUAUUUUACUAUUAAACAUCUUCUCUAGAAUAGUAUAUGUAAGAUUUGCUAGUACCAUAAUCAUGUGAGUGAUGUUUUGUAUGUAUAUCAAAAUAUCAUCAAUUAUUUGCAUCUUGUAGUCAAAAACAUUUCUUUGAAGAGUAAAAAUACUUUCAAGAGUCUUCUUCAAGUGAAGACAUUUAUCUUAGUAAAAUAUC
rnacentral:lncRNA from 1 species